GAAAAGAAACCAACAGGGAUUGCCUUAGUAACUGCGAGUGAAGCGGCAAAAGCUCAAAUUUGAAAUCUGGCGUCUUCGGCGUCCGAGUUGUAAUUUGGAGAGACAUCUUCGGGGUAGGCGCUGUCCUAAGUUCCUUGGAACAGGACGUCACAGAGGGUGAGAAUCCCGUGUCUGGAUGGCUGCCCUACUCCAUGUGAAGUGUCUUCGACGAGUCGAGUUGUUUGGGAAUGCAGCUCAAAAUGGGAGGUAAAUUUCUUCUAAAGCUAAAUAUUGGCGAGAGACCGAUAGCGCACAAGUAGAGUGAUCGAAAGAUGAAAAGCACUUUGAAAAGAGAGUUAAAAAGUACGUGAAAUUGUUGAAAGGGAAGCGCUUGAGACCAGACUCGGUCAGUGGUGAUCAGCGGUGCUUCUGUACCGUGCACUUGCCAUUGACUGGGCCAGCAUCGGUUCGGACGGCGGGAUAAAGGCCUUAGGAAUGUGGCUCUCUUCGGGGAGUGUUAUAGCCUAGGGUGCAAUGCCGCCAGUCUGGACCGAGGACCGCGCUUCGGCUAGGAUGCUGGCGUAAUGGUCUUCAGCGACCCGUCUUGAAACACGGACCAAGGAGUCUAACAUCUAUGCGAGUGUUCGGGUGGAAAACCCUUGCGCGUAAUGAAAGUGAACGGAGGUGAGAACACUUCGGUGUGCAUCAUCGACCGAUCCUGAUGUCUUCGGAUGGAUUUGAGUAUGAGCAUAGCUGUUGGGACCCGAAAGAUGGUGAACUAUGCCUGAAUAGGGUGAAGCCAGAGGAAACUCUGGUGGAGGCUCGCAGCGGUUCUGACGUGCAAAUCGAUCGUCAAAUUUGGGUAUAGGGGCGAAAGACUAAUCGAACCAUCUAGUAGCUGGUUCCUGCCGAA
rnacentral:rRNA from 1 species